UACGUAGGUGGCAAGCGUUGUCCGGAAUUACUGGGUGUAAAGGGAGCGCAGGCGGGAAGCCAAGUCAGCUGUGAAAACUACGGGCUUAACUUGUAGACUGCAGUUGAAACUGGUUUUCUUGGGUGAAGUAGAGGUUGGCGGAAUUCCGAGUGUAGCGGUGAAAUGCGUAGAUAUUCGGAGGAACACCGGUGGCGAAGGCGGCCAACUGGGCUUUAACUGACGCUGAGGCUCGAAAGUGUGGGGAGCAAACAGG
rnacentral:rRNA from 1 species